GCGCGCUUAGCUCAGUUGGUUAGAGCACUUGCUUGACAGGCAAGGGGUCAGAAGUUCGAGUCUUCUAGCGCGCA
rnacentral:tRNA from 1 species